GGCAAUGAAAUGGAGGGGGAAGUGAGAGUAAAAAGAAGUGACAACAACAUGAUGGUCUCUCUCUCUAGACAAGGUAAUAAGGAAGGGGACAAAGACCCAGCAAAGGAAUUAUGAAACUAGAUAAACCAGCACGGUAUGGUUGGUGCCCGGGAAGGGUGUAUGUGUCUUGUGUGUGUAUAUGAGUGGGUGGGGAUACACCUAUAGCUGCAGUGUGGUCCUCAGCCUCUAUCCCUGUUAGAUCGUCCCUCUCUUUAUAUAAAUAUAAACUGUAAUCCAACAGUUGAAACUCUAAAAACAAUUUUACCUGCAGACAGUAGUAAUAAAGAAAUUUGUAAAAGAGAAAAGCUUUCUUUUAAGCUUACAAAUGGUGGAGCAUGCAUGAUGAGGAGCUUUUUUCAUCUGAAUAAACGAUGAAAGAGAGAAAGAGAGGUCCCCCAAUAGGGUUUUGAAAUAGGCUUUCUUUAAGCUUAAAAUGGGCAGGCU
rnacentral:lncRNA from 1 species